UGGGGAAUAUUGGGCAAUGGAGGCAACUCUGACCCAGCAACGCCGCGUGAGUGAUGAAGGUCUUCGGAUUGUAAAACUCUUUAAGUGGGGACGAAGAAAGUGACUGUACCCACAGAAUAAGCCUCGGCUAACUACGUGCCAGCAGCCGCGGUAAUACGUAGGAGGCAAGCGUUAUCCGGAAUGACUGGGCGUAAAGGGUGCGUAGGUGGUUCGACAAGUUGGUAGCGUAAUUCCGGGGCUCAACCUCGGCGCUACUACCAAAACUGUUGGGCUUGAGUGCAGGAGGGGCAGAUGGAAUUCCUA
rnacentral:rRNA from 1 species